rnacentral:rRNA from 1 species
GACGAACGCUGGCGGCGUGCUUAACACAUGCAAGUCGAACGGAAAGGCCCUGCUAUCGUGGGGUGCUCGAGUGGCGAACGGGUGAGUAACACGUGAGUAACCUGCCCUUGACUUUGGGAUAACUUCAGGAAACUGGGGCUAAUACCGGAUAGGAGCUCCUGCUGCAUGGUGGGGGUUGGAAAGUUUCGGCGGUCGGGGAUGGACUCGCGGCUUAUCAGCUUGUUGGUGGGGUAGUGGCUUACCAAGGCUUUGACGGGUAGCCGGCCUGAGAGGGUGACCGGCCACAUUGGGACUGAGAUACGGCCCAGACUGCUACAGGGGGCAGCAGUGGGGAAUAUUGCCCAAUGGGCGGGAGCCUGAUGCAGCAACGCCGCGUGCGGGAUGACGGCCUUCGGGUUGUAAACCGCUUUCGCCUAUGACGAAGCGUGAGUGACGGUAAUGGGUAAAGAAGCACCGGCUAACUACGUG